rnacentral:rRNA from 1 species
UACGUAGGUGGCGAGCGUUGUCCGGAUUUACUGGGCGUAAAGAGCGCGCAGGCGGCUGGUCAAGUCCGAUGUGAAAGCUCCCGGCUUAACUGGGAAAUUGCAUCGGAAACUGAUCGGCUGGAAGGUGGGAGAGGGUAGCGGAAUUCCCGGUGUAGUGGUGAAAUGCGUAGAGAUGCGGAGGAACACCGAUGGCGAAGGCAGCCCCCUGGGCUGACACUGACGCUCAGGCACGAAAGCGUGGGGAGCAAACAGG